AUUGAACGCUGGCGGCAGGCUUAACUCAUGCAAGUCGAGCGGGGAAGGGUAGCUUGCUACCUAACCUAGCGGCGGACGGGUGAGUAAUGCUUAGGAAUCUGCCAUUUAGUGGGGGACAACAUUCCGAAAGGAAUGCUAAUACCGCAUACGUCCUACGGGAGAAAGCAGGGGAUCUUCGGACCUUGCGCUAAAUGAUGAGCCUAAGUCGGAUUAGCUAGUUGGUGGGGUAAAGGCCUACCAAGGCGACGAUCUGUAGCGGGUCGGAGAGGAUGAUCCGCCACACUGGGACUGAGACACGGCCCAGACUCCUAUGGGAGGCAGCAGUGGGGAAUAUUGGACAAUGGGCGGAAGCCUGAUCCAGCCAUGCCGCGUGUGUGAAGAAGGCCUUAUGGUUGUAAAGCACUUUAAGCGAGGAGGAGGCUACUUAGAUUAAUACUCUAGGAUAGUGGACGUUACUCGCAGAAUAAGCACCGGCUAACUCUGUGCCAGCAGCCGCGGUAA
rnacentral:rRNA from 1 species